rnacentral:rRNA from 1 species
GGGGGACCUUUGCCGGUC